rnacentral:misc_RNA from 1 species
CAACUCCGUGGAAGCCGUAAUGGCAGGAAGCGGA